GAUUUUACCCUAGGCAACCCAGAUUUCUCGUCGGAAUCCACAACCAUGGCGGAAUCCUCGGUGCGCCGCGGACGAAGCUCUUGCCUGCACCAAUCAAUGUAAGAAUCUCCGCCGAGUCAUCGUUUUCCCCUAUGCUUUGCGUAGCACCUCGGGCAAAAACGAAUUACGGGCCCUUGGAUCUGUGAUUGCUCACCGGUGCGACCCGUCCGCCAUGAUGCUGUGCGAUACCGUGGUCGUGGCUCUACGUUGUUCGUAUCUGGUAAAUAACCUCUCUGUCGCGUUCACCGUUGCCUUCUCCCUUUACUACACCCAGAUUCGUGGGAGGUCAGGCAGCUGGGGGCCAGAAUGGUGCACUCCGGCGGGGAUCCGCCGUGGCCGUGGGGCGGCGCCGCCGCCUCGGCUCGGGACAAAGGUGAGGGGAUAGGGGUCGUCGGAUCGAUCAUCGACGGCUAGGAUUAGAAAACGGAUACCGUUUCGUCUGAGUCAAGUGAGACCGUAGAUGUCUGAUCGUGGGGCUGUGGGAGUUUCGGACUUUAUUAACUCUGGUCCAUCGGAUCUUGAUCCAAGGGUAGUCAUCGCACGUAGCUUCGUUGGGAGGGCAAACUGUUGUCAGCCCUCAGAUCUAAUCCAGUGGCCGAGAAUCACAAAUACCCUUUUGGCCAGCACCAUUUGCAAACGAGCCCCUCACGUUUUAGUGAAUACACCCGCCGUCCACAUGUGGGCAAAAUUCAUAACAGGGAGGCCAUGGAUUCUUUGAUUCUAAACCCUAGGUUCUUCUGUAUUCAUGGCUGUAGCCCAGAUAAUUAAGAAAUAAAUUAAAUUAAAUCCAGAAAUCAUUUUGGUGUAGAAAAAUAGUGUUCCCAAUCUUAGGAAAUUCAUAUCUUGAUGAAUUUAACUCCUUUUUUGGUCCGUUCCAAUUGCAUUAAACUCAUAGUAAUAUUGUUUAUCAUCAGGUAACCUCAUUUUGUCAUGAAAUAUAGAUUAAAAUAAUGCACUUAUUUUGUUCUAUAUUUAAUCACCUAAAAGUUCAGAAAAACAUAACUCGAUAAUCGUAACUCUGAUUUGAUCCGUUCAAGUUGUGUUAGUCUCGUAUAAAUAUUUAUUAUGCAAUAACAACAUUUAUUAUACCAUGUCCCAUUCUUUUAUAAUUAGAUCUUUAUUUAACUUAGGUUGGUUAGUCUUGUUAAUUUGCUUAUCAUUAUAAUUUACUAAAAUAUGAUCUAUGGUCAAAUUAUAACUUAGAUCAAAGUGAAUUAAUUAUUUAUAAGAUAUUCUCUCAUAUGAUUUAUAGUAACCAAUUUAUAAUAGUCUAAUAUUUUAAUCACAUAGAUCUUCUAUAAAAUCAUAACUCCUUAAUCAUGACUCUGAUCUUAGUAGUUUUCGAUCCCGCGAUCUCGUAGCAACGCGUACAUUAUUAUUAUUCAGUUUGUACUUAUAUUUGGUUUGGUGUGGUGUUAAUUUUAUCCAUAGCAUGUUUGUUUGUAUUGCUACGACUAGCGAGAGGUUUCGAGGAUUUGAAGAUCACCCUGGUAACUGGAAUCUCAAGUGCCAGGCAAGUUGUGCCCUUGAUCCACUUUUGUUACCCAAUAAUAUUCUUUAUUAUCAUUAUUCAAUGCAUAGGUUUAAUUUUGAUGGGACCCAAUAGGUCACCCUAGUCUAUAUAUCCUAUUUACCUUGUUUACCCCUGAAUCACUUGGGCAGUUUUUGCUAUUGCUUUACAUGGUUUUGGGUUAAUAUUACAUUAUAUCCAUGUUCCAAUUAUUGUAUUAUUUUAUUUAUGUUCAUGUCAAGAUCAUUAUCUUUAAUUGGAACAUGGAGCUUAACUUGAGAAACACGUGCCACUACAAGGGUGGAAUGGGACGCCCUUGGCUGACUAAUUAGGAAAGCUAGUAGAAGACCACCUUACCUGAAAGAAGCAAGGGCAGUAGGGGAGUUGCAUGCAAGGAGGUUCUCGGGUUGAUUUUGCUGCGAUGGCGGUCAGACGAGGGAUUCUUGCAAGUGCUCUUCCCAUAAAUUGUAGCGGGUUUUCGGAAGCUAGUGGAACUUUGUAAAGGCCUCGUAGUGGAUCCCUAGCCAUUCACCUCGGUAGUGUCUAAGGGUCUAGCUAACCCUGGUGACAUGGGAAACAUGGCUUGUGGGUAAAGGGUACAACCUCUGCAGUGUGUAAAACUGGUAUACUAGCCGAGCUCACGGUCAUGAGCAGCUCAGGACUCUCACAUGAUUAAUCUAUGGAACUUAAAUUCAAUUUGUCAUAUGCAUUGCAUGGGAUCAUUUGUUAAUUUUGUUCUAUUAUUAUUUAUUAUGGUUUGGUAUUUACUUACAUAUAGUGAUUACUAAUAAAAUUUUGACCGACUUAUUAAAAGCAAUGCUCAGUUUUAACCCCUAUUGUUGAUCAGCUUUACACAUCACAUGAACUCCCAUCUUUGUGAGUUCAUGCCACAUUAUUCCCCACAACUUGUUGAGCGAUGAACAUGUGUGAGCUCACCCUUUCUGUCUCACACCCCCUAGGAGAAGUACAUGUGGUUCAAGUGGAGCCACGCAUCGAGGAGUUCGAUUUGAUCUAGGUGGCGUCUCCCAGUUGACUUGCGCCAAGGAUGAUCCUUAGUUCGUGUUAUAUUUAUAUAUUAUUUUUGUAAGACUUUCGCUAUGUAAUAAGUACUCUGAUUAUAUUGUGACAUUUAUCUCUAUACACUCUGUUAUUAUAUAUAUUGUCUUCUUUGAUGCAUGUAUGAGAUGCACCCGGCUUUGUCCCUUAAAGCCCGGGGUGUUACACCUUUAGGUGACAAAUUCCGGCCAUGCCCCACCGCCCGCAAGCUAGCAGAUGGGCUGUCUAGGUGCGGCGCUCACAUACGACUCCCAAGGCCGAUCCCCUUGCCCCAAGCGACCCCGCACGCAAAGCUCCAUGGCAGCGGCGUGGACUCCACCCAGUGAUGAUGAUGUGGCGAUGGUUAAGAAGCUGAGAUGAGAGAAGUCGCAUCUAGAUUAUAUAGACAGAGGAAGGCGGAGAUGAGCUCGACUGCAUGGCGAACGAUUCAGUCGCGGCCAACAAAUAUGAGUUUCUAGGGAUCGAAUCCCCCAUAGAUCGGCAUUGCGCAUGAUUCGGUCGUCUUAAUUUCCUGCUACAAGGGGAUUCUGGCCGGGUGGUUGGAACGGUCAGCGGGAUCCGCGCGAUUCUGGCGGCGGACAGCGUGGCGCGCCAGCGCAGGAGGUUGGAGGAAGCGCUGGUUGCUCAGCUCCUCCUGGUAGCGACAUUAGGUGAGUGCGGCCCACGGAAUCCGUGUUGCCAGUCUGGUGAUGAAGAUUCUGACGAGUUGGCCCCACAUGGUGGGCGUGAGGGAGGGGACAGCGCACGGGUCCGAGAGUGUGACCGGGUCUGCUGCUGACCGGUGGCCGUUAGCCAGUGCACGGAAUUGGGCUGGCGCGGUUGCAUGGUUAGUGGGCCGGGGCAAACAGAAAGGGCCCAAGCCGAGGCUCACAUUUUUCUUUCCUUUUAUAUUUUAUGUUUUCCAUUUUCUUAAUUUGUUUCAAAUUCAAAUUUGAUUCAGGGUUCAACCAUAAAAUGGAAAUUGAUUGCAUGACAAAUAAAGAUCCAGCAUGAAAUGUAUAUUUCUAAAGUUAUUUAUUUUGUUAUUUGGCUAGCUUUCUUCCUUUUAAUUGAUUAUUCAAAAAGUAUGAGACAUACAAAAAGGUUUAAAAAAUCCCUAAAGCACAAUCUUAUAUUUAUUUAUUUAUUUAUUUUAUUAUUAUCAUUUUUUUUCUACCAAUUUUGGGCUUUACAAAACGACACAUGAAAGAUCAGCCAAGACAAAAACUCACCAAUAACAAAACGUUCGGGGUACUUCUGUCGCAUCUGCUCCUCAAGCUCCUAGGUAGCCUCGCACUCAGACUGAUUAGUCCACAGGACCUUAACAUACUUAAUUGUUCUUCUUCUCAUGACACACUCUAAGGACUCCAAGAUACGCAUCGGGCGACACUCCAGAGUCAGAUCUUGUUGCACAACGAUCAGCUCUAACUCGAUUUGAUGGUCCGGAUCUGCAGAUACUUCCUCAACAUAGAGACAUGAAAUACCGGGUGUACCCCUACCAUGGAUUCUGGUAAUUGCAUGUGAUAAGCCAAGCUGCCAACCCGGGCCAAGAUAGUGAACGGUCCAAUGUACCUCGGACUAAGCUUCCCCGAGACAUUGAACCGAACGACUCCUUUAGUAGGUGAUACCCUGAGAAGAACUUGAUCACCCACUGCAAAUUCCAAGUCCCGCCUCCUCACAUCAGCAUAACUUUUCUGACGGCUCUGGGCGGCUAUAAUAUUCUGACGAAUCUCUUGAACCUUCUUAGAUGUCUGCUAAACCAAUCAAGACUGACCAAAGAUCUCUCUCCCAGAGUCUCCCAGCAUAAAAGGGAAAUACACCGCCGGCCAUAUAAGGCCUCAUAUGGUGCCAUCUUGAUGCUAGCCUAAUAGCUAUUGUUAUAAGAGAACUCAGCCAAGGCGAGAUGAUCCUCCCAGCUACCCCUCAAAGAAAGGACACAAGCACGCAUCAUGUCCUCCAAAGUCUGAAUAGUCCGCUCUAGCUGACCAUCGGUCUGAGGGUGAAAAGCAACACUAAGAGAAAGCUUGGUACCCAAAGCACUGUGAAGGCUCUACCAAAAUUUGGAUACAAAUUUGGAGUCUCGGUCUAAAACAAUAGAGUUAGGCACACUGUGAAGCCUUAUUACUUCUUUCAUAUAUAAGGGAACCAAUUCUGAAGCUGAAUUUGUGGUCUUCAUGGGAAUAAAGUGCGCUGACUUCGUUAGGCGAUCCACUAGAACCCAUAUAGCAUCCUUGCCUCAAGGGGAACGGGGUAAGCCAACCACAAAAUCCAUGGUGAUAUGCUCCCGCUUCCAUUCUGGAAUUUCCAAAGGCUUCAAUAAAUCUACAGGCCUCUUGUUUUCAGCCUUCACACGCUGGCACACCCCACAGGCUACCACAUACGUAGAAACAUCAACCUUCAUCCUCUUCCACCAGAAGUUUUGCUUCAAAUCUCUAUACAUCUUGGUUUCGCCAAGGUGAACGGUGUAAGGAGUUUUAUGAGCUUCUCUCAAUAUAUCCAUCUUCACAUAUGAUUUCUGUGGCACACAAAGACGUCCUCUGAAACAAACCAAAUCAUUCUCAUCAAUAGUGAAAUCUUGAGGUUUACCAUCGCCGACCCUCUUACGAGCCUCUUGCAACAAACAAUGCUACUGCUGUGCCACACGCACUCUAUCAAGAAGGGAGGAUUGAAUGAGCAUCUGAGUCUCCUCUCUAGUGGUGCCAACAUAGAACAAAGCAACACCCAUAUGGUCCAGAUUUGCAAUCAAAGGCAUGGCCACUUUUUGGGACGCCAGUCCUGCUAAGUGAAUCGGCAACCACAUUCGCCUUUCCUGGAUGAUAUUGAAUUGACAUAUCAUAAUCCUUUAUCAACUCAAGCCACCGACGCUGCCUCAAAUUCAACUCUUUCUGAGUGAAAAUGUACUUGAGACUCUUAUGAUCGGUGUAAAUGUCACAAGACUCACCAUAAAGAUAAUGCCUCCACGAUUUCAGGGCAAACACAACAGCGACCAAUCACCAAGUCGAGGUCAUGGGUAGGAUAAUUCCUCUCAUGUUUCUUCAACUGCUUAGAGCCAUAAGCAAUCACCCUGCUUUCCUACAUCAACACACAACCAAGGCCAAUAUGAGAAGCAUCUGUAUAAACUAUGAAACACUUACCACUCUCAGGCAAGGCUAAAAUAGGAGCAUUCACCUACUCAUCCUUCAAUGCCUGAUAACUAACCUCGCAAUCAUUGGUCCAGACAAAAGGAACACAUUUCUCCAAAAGUUUAGUCAAUGGGUUUGUAAUGCUGGAAAAGUUUGGCACAAAAUGCCGAUAAUAACCAGAAAGCCCCAAGAAACUUUGAUUUUUUUGAGACGCUAGAAGGUCUCUUCCACUCCACCACAGCAGCGACAAUCUUGGGAUCAACUGCAAUGCCAUGCUGAUUAAUCACAUGACCCAGAAAAGCAACUUCAGAAUGUCAAAAGGCACACUUCUUCAACUUGCCAUAGAAUUGAUUCUUCCUAAGAGCAUCCAGAACGAGACGAAGAUGUCCCUCAUGCUCUUCCUCUGUCUUCGAGUAAAUCAGAAUAUCAUCAAGAAAUACAACCAUAAAGUCAUCUAAGAACUCAUGCAACAUCUUAUUCACUGCUUCCAUAAAAGCAGUAGGGGCAUUAGUUAAGCCAAAGGACAUGACGAUAUACUCGAAGUGCCCAUACUUGGUGCUAAAAGUUGUCUUCUCAAUAUCCUCCUCACGAAUCCUCAAAUGAUGAUAACUAGAGCUCAAAUCAAUCUUAGAGAAUACCUAGGUACCUCUCAGCUGUUCAAAGAGAACAUCAAUACGAGGUAGCGGAUAUUUAUUCUUGAUCGUCACUUGAUUUAAAGCACGAUAAUCCACACAUAAUCUUUUGCUUUUAUCCUUCUUCUCAACAAAUAACACCAGAAAAGCCCAUGGUGACCUGCUAGGCCUAAUGAAACCCUUAGCAAGCAGAUCAUCCAAUUGCCGCUUCAACUCAACAUGCUCUUUUGGAGCCAUCCGAUACAGGGCCUUAUGAAUAGGCUGCAUACCCAGAAUCAGCUUGAUUUCAAAAGCCGCAACACGCUCCGGUGGAAUUCCUGGUAGCUCCGCUAAGAACACGUCGGCAUAAUCACACACCACACGGAUGUCCUGCACUCGCAAGGCAGCCUCACUCUCCACCAUCAUAGAAAAAAGAAUUCCUGACUUCCUUGUCCGACGAUCCGGAAGUAGCUGGGACAAUAAGGAAAGAGCAUACUUCGGAGUGCUCCCCAAAAAUACCAUCUCCCUACCCGACGACGCCUACAAAGACACUGUCUUCCAGAAACAGGAUAUGACUGCGCGAUAUUGAGUUAACCAAUCCAUACCUAAAAUAACAUCAAAUGACUCAAGGGGAAUCACCACGAUAUUAGCCAAAAAGAUCUCAUCUGCAAGAACGACGGAGCAACCUGGGCAGACUGAACAACUACUAAUGGAGCCCUUAGCAGAACUAACCAUAAUUGGGUGACCCAUCAUUCGCACCGAAAGACCGGCAUAGGACACAAAAUUCUCCGAAACAAACGAAAACUAGCGCCAAAGUCAAAAAGAGCAUGUGCAUUAAACGAAUCAACUGAGACAGUACCUGUCACCACAUCUCCAUGGUCUCUGUCUUCUGCAGAGGGUAGCACAUAUGCUCCUGGAACACCCAUAGAAGAGGAAACACUCGGAGUGAAAUUAACACAAGAAGAACCCCAACGAGUUGCAGGCUGAGGCAGACAUGGAGCUCCAAACUGAGGUGGUAAAGGAGCGGUCGGUGCAGGAGUAGGUGCUGCCAAGCACUGAGGAAAACCUGGCAAAGACAAGUACUAAGGAGUCCUUGGCAUAUAAAACUACUGCUGAGGGGGUGGUACAGAAAAUUGUUGCUCAGUGGUUGCCAUCAUGUUGACAGUGCCCUGCAAAGAGGAAGAAGUCACUAGGUCCCAUUUAAGUUUCCCAUUUAGAUUCCUCCUACACACCACAUCUCCUUGUGAUCCUGGUUGCAAAUAGAGCACCUUCCACUCCACUGACACUCAGCACGACGAUGCGCUUCACCACAACAGAAACACACCAACCCCAACCCAGGCUUAGGAACAACCUGAUACCUCUGAGUACUCCCUCCUGAAGUACCCAAUUCAGAGGACUUGCCAUGAUAGGGGUUGUGGCGCUGGUGUUGAAACUUUCCCUUCUUGUGAGCUGGACCCCCAGUGUAGCCCCUCCUCAUAUCCUGGCCACGAGGCUAGUCAACACCUGAAGACUUCUGGAACUCAUUUGUAUACUGAUGUUGCAUCUCCAUGCCCAAAGCCUGCUCCGCAGUAGUUGAAAAAUCCACUAGCAGAAAGGCACUCAGAGCAUGCCUGAUAUAAGGUCUCAAGCCCUAACAAAACUGGCUCGCCUUUUCUAAUUCAUUAUAGGCCACAUGCGGAACAAAGCGGACCAUCUUGUUAAAGCCCACUUCAUACUCUGUAACCGUCUUUUUCUCCUGCUUGAAUGAUUGCAAGUCUAUCUUCAUCUUCUCCAGGAAAGUGACUGGGUAAAAUCUCCUUUCAAAUUGCCUGACAAAAAUAUCCCAGGUCAGGUAACCCAGUGAAGACAAAUGAGCUGCCUGCACGCCUCUCCACCAAAUCUAAGCCUCUCCCUUCAAUAGUUGUGUGCCAAAGCGAACACGAUCUCCAAACACUAUCUCAAAGACAUCCAUCUUAUCUUCCACAUAAGUCAGCCAAUCUGCCGCCUCAACCGGAGUACCACUGCCAUCAAAAGUAUCCAACUUCAUGCCCAUCCACUGCAUCAGAGAAAGACCACUAACUGGAAGAGGCAUCUCAGCCCCCACCACCUGGAGCAGCACCCAGGGACGGUGCCCCUGGGAACACCUCCACUACCAGCACCCUGAGCACCAGCGGCCGGAGCAGGACCAGCAGGAGCAAUUGGAAUGGCUUGCCUCAGAAUGGCCAACUCCUGCUAUAUACCCUACAUCGCCGCUAACAUAGCCGCCGGACUCAUAGAAUCCCCAUUAUGAUCUUGUAGGCUGCCACAAGCCAUUUUAGGUGGCAUAGCUGUGAUACCCGAAUUGGUAUGAAAGAAGUUAAAUUUCUUUUCUUUUUUUCGCGCUCUGUGUCUCUGGAGUUUGGAGUUCUGGGAGGCGAAUACCUCAAUUGAACGGUAGCUUUUUGGGCAUUCUUUUCGUUGGGGCCGGGAUCUCGAGGGGAAGCUUGGGCUGUGAGCCGUCGAUCCCGCAUCUAGUGGAUGAAGAGGCCCCUCAUCUCCCCCUAACCCUAGCCGCCCCUCCCACUACUCUUGCAGCCACCCCCUCCCAUUUUCCUUGGGCAGUCGACCACCCUUUCCUCUCCCUCUCCCUCUCUCAUCCUUGCAGCCGCCGCCCCCCUCCACUCCAAGCAGUCGCCCUCUUCCUCCCACCCAAGCCCUAGCCACCCCCCUUCCAUCCCCUCCCAAGGUGCAGUCAUCCCUCCUCCCUUGGAUCUCCUUCAAGUUGGUGCAAGCCUCUAAUUGGAGAAUUGGUGGGAGGAAGAAGAAAGGGGUGAAGGAAGAACUCAAGGUGAUCUUGUGUUUUAUUUUGUAUUUGUGCUGCAAUUACAUUUGGUUAUCCGUUCACCUAGGCGAAUUGGUAGUAGUGUUGUCCUGAUUUUUGGUGGUGGCGGACAAUAGUAGUGUUGGUAGUUUCUAGAAUUUUUGCGGGGGCAAUUAGCUAUAAUCACUGUGAAAAUCAUGUAGAUCUUUGUCAUUUAUUUCCAUAGAGUACUUAUGCGUUCGAUUUGAUGGAAUAUUCUAGGAGAUAUCGCAUUUUGAACUCAGCUAGGUUGUUGUCGAAAAAACAGAACGCAUGAUGUACUUUGUCGGCUAUUUGGGGCAUCGAGAUGUUGGAAUUUAAUUAUCUUUUGAGUACGAAACUUGCAGAGAAUUUUAUGUAGAUGUUUUUGGAGUUUUUGUUUGAUAUCACUACUGUUAUAAUUUUAAAGUUAUGAAAUUAACAAGCAGCGCUGCUGCAGUUUAGUGGGUGAUGGGGAGAGUUGUUGCUCGUGAUGGGUUGGGAUUGUGCGUAGGUGCGACGUUGAUUAUAAGCGAUUGUUAUGUGAAUAUGUGCACUAAGUUGUGUGUCAAAACAGGUGGUGGACCUCCGGAUCGUACUUAGUACCAUUCCAAAUUCCCGGUGAAGGCAAGUAAAAACAGUGAUGGUUUAUACCAUUCGGUUGUAUUAUGUGCCCUGUUCUUGAACUGAUAUAAGUAUCGAAUGUGUUUAUCAUUGAAUUCCAUUAUAACAAUUGUUGUUUGAAGUUAUUCAUGUUCUAUUGUUUUAAAUAUGUUGAGGGCAUUGUUCGAGCAUGUUAUAUGUGUUGAUUCCUAUCUUGAGGAAGUGGAAGUAUCUAUUUAACACAUGUUAAAUGAGGUGGACUUAUGUUGGUUUGUCAUGCAUAGUGCAUCCAUCAUUCUUUGUAUUGAAGUUUCGUCGCGAUCAUAUGGUCCGACCAUACCGGUACAAUAAGCAUCGUACGUUGCCCGAGGAGGGGUACGAUGCAACUUCAUAUCCUUAGAGGUAUGAAGGCAGAAGUCAUUAUUGUAUUUGUAGUCAUAUGCACUCAUGAGGAAUAUGUGGAACCUGUCAUUGAUUUGUUAAUAUUAGGGAUCUCCUCUUCGUGAAUUGGGAACUAGUUGUUUGGUACUUUGCAUACUUGCUGCACUCUAAUAUUUAAGAAGGGAGUUGUGAACUCCGUGGUUGGUGAAACACUGUUUUUACUUUAUCUAACUGUUGGUUGAUCAUUUUACUUGCUGAGAUGUGUCAUCUCACUCUUGCAUUGUUUGAUGUAGGCUCUUGAACCUGGCUUGGGGAAAGGAGGGAAGUAGCAGCACGAUCACUACACUUCUAAACAACUUUACACUACUUAGUAAUGUCUUUAAUCAGGGGCUUCGGGUCAGGGAUGUUGGUCAUUUUUUAAAUAGUGUGUGCAAGUAGU
rnacentral:lncRNA from 1 species